AUCUCCACUUUGUGAUUUCUGAUGCUCCCCC
rnacentral:piRNA from 1 species